ACACCCGGGGAGUUUGUAACACCCGAAGCCGGUGGAGUAACCUUUUAGGAGCUAGCCGUCGAAGGUGGGACAAAUGAUUGGGGUGAAGUCGUAACAAGGUAGCCGUAUCGGAAGGUGCGGCUGGAUCACCUCCUUUCUAAGGA
rnacentral:rRNA from 1 species